rfam:Anaerolineae bacterium 49_20 MPI_scaffold_8138, whole genome shotgun sequence.
AGAUGUUAAUGGGAAGAGACCGUGUUGUUACUCGGCACCGAAGGGGCAAGGCUAUAAGCUGAAACUCUCAGGUAAAGGAGACCCAUUAAACAGA